UUUGAUCAUGGCUCAGAACGAACGCUGGCGGAAUGCUUAACACAUGCAAGUCGAACGAGUACGUUUUACUAGUGGCGGACGGGUGAGUAACGCGUGGGAACCUACCUUGAGGUAAGGAACAACUACAGGAAACUGUAGCUAAUACUUUAUAAGCCCUACGGGGGAAAGAUUUAUCGCCUUAAGAGGGGCCUGCGUCAGAUUAGCUUGUUGGUAAGGUAAUGGCUUACCAAGGCAAUGAUCUGUAGCUGGUUUGAGAGGACGAUCAGCCACAUUGGGACUGAGACACGGCCCAGACUCCUACGGGAGGCAGCAGUGGGGAAUCUUGGACAAUGGGGGAAACCCUGAUCCAGCAAUUCCGCGUGAAUGAUGAAGGCCUUAGGGUUGUAAAGUUCUUUUAGUAAGGAAGAUGAUGACGGUACUUACAGAAAAAGCUCCGGCUAACUCCGUGCCAGCAGCCGCGGUAAUACGGGGGGGGCAAGCGUUGUUCGGAAUUACUGGGCGUAAAGAGCGAGCAGGUGGUUCAUUAAGUCAAUUGUGAAAGCUCAAGGCUUAACCUUGAAAUUGCUUUUGAUACUGAUGGACUAGAGUUUGGGAGAGGAUAGUGGAAUUCUAAGUGUAGAAGUUGAAAUUCGUAGAUAUUUAGAGGAACACCGACAGCGAAGGCAACUAUCUGGCCCUUUACUGACACUCAGAAGCGAAAGCUUGGGUAGCAAACAGGAUUAGAUACCCUGGUAGUCCAUGCUGUAAACGAUGAGUGCUAGAUGUUAGAAGUUUACUUCUAGUAUCGAAGCUAACGCGUUAAGCACUCCGCCUGGGGAGUACGGCCGCAAGGCUAAAACUCAAAUGAAUUGACGGGGACCCGCACAAGCAGUGGAGCAUGUGGUUUAAUUCGACGCUACGCGAAGAACCUUACCAGCUCUUGACAUGCUAAGUUUUAAAUUUAAGAGAUUAAAUUUUUCAGUUCGGCUGGGCUUAGUACAGGUGCUGCAUGGCUGUCGUCAGCUCGUGUCGUGAGAUGUUCGGUUAAGUCCGGCAACGAGCGCAACCCUCAUCUUCAGUUACUAACAGGUUAUGCUGAGGACUCUGGAGAAACUGCCGUUGGAAAAGCGGAGGAAGGCGAGGAUGACGUCAAGUCCUCAUGGCCCUUAUGGGCUGGGCUACACACGUGCUACAAUGGUAAUUACAAUAGGUCGCGAAAAGGCAACUUUGAGCUAAUCUUCAAAAAUUAUCUUAGUUCGGAUUGUUCUCUGCAACUCGAGAGCAUGAAGUUGGAAUUGCUAGUAAUCGUGGAUCAGCAUGCCACGGUGAAUACGUUCCCGGGUCUUGUACACACCGCCCGUCACACCAUGGGAGUUGGUUUUACCUGAAGCCGAUUUUUAAUCGUCCACGGUAAGGUCAGCGACU
rnacentral:rRNA from 1 species